GAAAGAGUAUUCUGUGAAUUUUACGGUAUUGCCGUGAUUCACGACGGCCACCGGCAAAGUGAGCAUGCCGGCAUUCGCCUGCAUUUCCUUGUCACGGCGCACAGCAAUCGCUCGCGACGUCGAUCUGGCGAUUACGCGCAGCAUCGUAGAACGUCAGAGUCUCGUGACGGAUCGCCCAUUUGCUCGCGGUGAAAUACGCGACGACGACGAUCGCAAACAGACCAAGCAGGAUGAAAAUUCCGCGCUUCAUCACGUCCUCGAUUGUCCAGAUCACCCUUCACAACACAGUGUUUUAGAAUCCUUGGCACUUGUCCAGUUAGAUGAUGACAGGCUGGCGACAAGCCAACUUAAUUCCACGUCAUGUGUCUGACAGAGACCAGUAAAUUGUGCGAUGCAUCAAGCGUGCCACGGCACCUAAACGCGCCGCCUUGGUCUACGGCA
rnacentral:misc_RNA from 1 species